rnacentral:rRNA from 1 species
AGAGUUUGAUCCUGGCUCAGAACGAACGCUGGCGGCAUGCCUAACACAUGCAAGUCGAACGCUUUAGGGACUUCGGUUCCUAAGGAGUGGCGCACGGGUGAGUAGCGCGUGGGAACCUGCCCUGUUGUGGGGGAUAACCGAGGGAAACUUCGGCUAAUACCGCAUGCGCCCCGAGGCAACUCGGGGGAAAGAUUUAUCGC